GAUGAACGCUGGCGGCGUGCCUAAUACAUGCAAGUCGAGCGAACGGACGAGAAGCUUGCUUCUCUGAUGUUAGCGGCGGACGGGUGAGUAACACGUGGAUAACCUACCUAUAAGACUGGGAUAACUUCGGGAAACCGGAGCUAAUACCGGAUAAUAUUUUGAACCGCAUGGUUCAAAAGUGAAAGACGGUCUUGCUGUCACUUAUAGAUGGAUCCGCGCUGCAUUAGCUAGUUGGUAAGGUAACGGCUUACCAAGGCAACGAUGCAUAGCCGACCUGAGAGGGGGAUCCGCCACACGGGAACUGAGACACGGUCCGGACUCCUACGGGAGGCAGGAGUAGGGAAGCUUCCGCAAGGGGCGAAAGCCUGACGGAGCAACGCCGCGUGAGUGAUGAAGGUCGUCGGAUCGUAAAACUCUGUUAUGAGGGAAGAACAUAUGUGUAAGUAACUGUGCUCAUCUGGACGGAACCUAAUCAGAAAGCCCCGGCUAACUACGU
rnacentral:rRNA from 1 species